UUUGUACUGCACAAAAGUACUG
rnacentral:miRNA from 1 species